GAAAGAUUUUAACUUCCCAUGUACUUGUUUCAGAAGACGAAAAGUACCUUGCACAGCCGACCUUUCUAUCACAAAAUAGGAGGGUUUUUCUUCUUCUUUUGUAAUCAGGCUAGGGUCCCUGGUGUGGCUAUAAAAGACCAUUAAAUUACCUUUCUUUCUGCCGUAAAUAGCACAACCUUUUCUUCUUCCUUGACCGUCAGCACGGCCUCCACCAGAUAGAUGGUAUCCAUAGCUCUUUAGCAGUUAUGUGUGUGGCUGUUCACUGCUAGGUGGCAUCGAACCUUCCAAAGCUCAUUGAAGGUCUGAGGCGGUUGGCCAAGUCUGCUCCCAUGGUUGACUGUUCCAUCGAGGGAUCUACUUUGCUGGAAACCAAACCAUCACUUGUAGCUAUUUCAAUGUCUUUUUCAUCACCAACCAAGUCUUUAUCAAUGUUAAUAGCAUCAAAUUUAUGGCUAUCAAUGUCAACUACAGCAGAGUUGUGACCCUUAAUGCCAACUGCAUCAGAUCCAAUGCCAUCAAACUUCUCAUCGGUCCCAUUCGGCACAAACCUUUAAGGAUCAAACAAUGCUAAUAACAUAUUGUUUUUCUGUUUUUAUGUCCUUGCAGAUUUUGCUUCAGCAAGCCUUGCCCCCCUGGUGAUCAUAAUAAUAUUUUUCAUGGCCCACUUUUAUCUUCCCAUUGAAUUAACACGAAGCUACUGCAGCAGUAGCAACGGAAUCAACAAAUCCUUCGGGCUUUAGAAGCAACAACAAUUUGCAGUUGUAGCUGCAGCUUCCACUCAUAGUAAAACACUAGCAACUAGUAAAGGAAAUGUUUAUUCAGAUCAUAUUUCAUCAUCAUCAUCAUUUAUAGCCACCAAGUUCCCUAAUGCAUUUUCUGAAUUUCCUCAAAAUCUUGUUCAAAGCAGCAGUAGCCCAGCUCACUCUCCUCAGUGGAAAAGUUCCGUGAGGAUCACAACCUCUCAAGUUCUUUCUUCGUCUCUAGCCUCAUCUUUAUUGACCCUCAAAAACCUUCCCCAACAGCAAGGCAAAACCCAACAAGGUAACACUCAGAUAUCUUUUGCAGCUAGCCAAUAAUCAUAUGCUUCUCCACAAGGGCAACCGAAUCUCAGUAGUAACCAAUCCUCGUCUCUUCCAGUGGUGAUCGGAUCCCCCCACAACCUUAAUUUUCUAAAAGUGCAGGUGGAAGCCCAAGGACAUCCAAUUGCAUAAGUAACAAAGGCAGCUAAUCAUCUCAGCAAUCCAAGAACUCUGUCUCCGUGCCUGAGCAAAAUUCGUCUCCAUUUGGUGGAAGAAAUAUUCUGUCAAUCCUUGGUUAUCCUCACAACUCUUCUUCAUCAUCAUCAGCAGCAGCAGCAGUUAACAAAGCAUGCACUUCAGCAGGCUCAACUAAUCUACACUAAUGCUUUUUAUGCAAGCUCAAGCUUAAGCUCAACAUGUGGCAAAUUCAACAAACGUUGCAUCAGAAACUAGUGGGUUUUACCUGCAAAGACACCGCAGUGAGUAUAAACAUUUUAUCUGCAACCGUUGCAUCAGCAGUUUGUGCCUUCUUUGCACCUUCAGCUUCUCUUUAGAUCCUAUCAGCCCAUCGCAUCAUUUUAUCCAUGUCCUCUAGUGAUAAAGAUGAUAUGGCCUGUUGAGCUUUUGCUACAUCUUCUUGAGAGUUUUAUUCCAAGUUGCUCACUCAUGUUAGCCAUCAUCUCUGUGCUCAUAUUCUUCAUCAUUGACGUGAACAUCUGCUGCAUAGCUGGAUCUUUCAUUUGGUCUCUCAUUUGUUCUUGCAUAUCAAAAGAUGAGGCAGGAAAGCUUGAUGAACUAGUUCCACUGAUGCCAUUAUUCCUAUUAACUGCAAAAUUUCCUCGAGUUUCUGUUGGUUUUGCCCCAGCACCCGGACCUGAUCCAUCAGUGUUUAAAGUUGAAGAUAGCCGGAACUGAACCGUUUCCUCUCGAAGAAGAUGCCAUUUCAAACAUUUUCUGAAGCUCUUCUGGUGACAUCUUACUCAUCAUAUCACUUGCUGUUUUGAGCAUGUCUGGCAUCACAUUUGGAGGAACCUUACUAGAUUUAAAGCCAUUAAAACUGCUAUAUGAAGAUCCACCCACAGUAAAAAGAAGUUGCCACUUGGAAUGAGAAAGCCAUUUCAAGCAUUCUUUGAAGCUCUUCAGGUCAUCUUGCUGAUCAUAUUUGAGGUGACCGACCUAUAGCAAUAUUUAAGCUGUCUUUUGGUCGAGAUGAUAUACCAAUUUGUUCUCUCAUGCACAGCAGCAGCUCAACGACUAGAAGGCAACCCUUUUUGUUGUUCUUGCUGUGACAAUGAAGGUUCUUGAAGUUGAAUAUCAAUUAGGAUUUAGGCUAAUAAAAUUUAAAGUUGGUAAGAAUUUGAAUAUUAACUAAAGAAAGAAUCCUAGUUAAUAUAGAAAUUUUUAAUGAAGAAGGAUUUAUAAUAAACUAGUUUAUUAGAAUUUUUAUUUAAUUAGAAUGUAACAUUUCUUAUUAGAUUAGGAUUUCCUUUGAAUAGUUUAAUUUCUUGAUUAUCUAGGACUUAAGGUCUAUAAAUAGACUUGUAAUCUUAAGCAUUAUACACAAGUAUAGAGAGAUAAAGAAAAGUUAUAAAGGUGUAUCUUUUGAGAAAACUCUUAAUAAAAUAUCAUUCCUCUCAUUCUUUUUA